GAUGAACGCUGGCGGCGUGCCUAAUACAUGCAAGUCGAGCGAACAGAUAAGGAGCUUGCUCCUUUGACGUUAGCGGCGGACGGGUGAGUAACACGUGGGUAACCUACCUAUAAGACUGGAAUAACUCCGGGAAACCGGGGCUAAUGCCGGAUAACAUUUAGAACCGCAUGGUUCUAAAGUGAAAGAUGGUUUUGCUAUCACUUAUAGAUGGACCCGCGCCGUAUUAGCUAGUUGGUAAGGUAACGGCUUACCAAGGCAACGAUACGUAGCCGACCUGAGAGGGUGAUCGGCCACACUGGAACCGAGACACGGUCCAGACUCCUACGGGAGGCAGCAGUAGGGAAUCUUCCGCAAUGGGCGAAAGCCUGACGGAGCAACGCCGCGUGAGUGAUGAAGGUCUUCGGAUCGUAAAACUCUGUUAUUAGGGAAGAACAAAUGUGUAAGUAACUGUGCACGUCUUGACGGUACCUAAUCAGAAAGCCACGGCUAACUACGUG
rnacentral:rRNA from 1 species